AUUGAACGCUGGCGGCAUGCUUUACACAUGCAAGUCGAACGGCAGCACGGGUGCUUGCACCUGGUGGCGAGUGGCGAACGGGUGAGUAAUGCAUCGGAACGUGCCCAUGAGUGGGGGAGUAGCCCGGCGAAAGCCGGAUUAAUACCGCAUACGCCCUUAGGGGGAAAGGCGGGGGAGUCUUCGGACCUCGCGCUAUUGGAGCGGCCGAUGUCGGAUUAGCUAGUAGGUGAGGUAAAGGCUCACCUAGGCGACGAUCCGUAGCUGGUCUGAGAGGAUGAUCAGCCACACUGGGACUGAGACACGGCCCAGACUCCUACGGGAGGCAGCAGUGGGGAAUUUUGGACAAUGGGCGGCAAGCCUGAUCCAGCCAUGCCGCGUGAGUGAAGAAGGCC
rnacentral:rRNA from 1 species